ensembl:snRNA U6 U6 spliceosomal RNA
GUGCUCGCUUCAGCAGCACAUAUGCUAAAAUUGGAAUGAUACAGAGAAAAUUAGCAUGGCCCCUGUGCAAGGAUGACAUGCAAAUCCGUGACACGUUCCAUAUUUUU